rnacentral:lncRNA from 1 species
GCGAACGGCGAUGGGGUCUGCGGUGGGCGGUGUUUCGUCGCGACAGACUCUAGGAAAUUUCACGAUAGAACUAGCUUUAGGCGCUUGAGCCUUGCCGUCUUUUUGGGGUGUGGCCUGUCUCCGUCUGCCAAAGGCUUUGAGCUUCCUGGUGUUCAUCGUACCUCCGCUUGGUGCUGUCGUGACUAAACCCCGACAGCAGGAAAAAAAAAAAAAAAAAAGCAGCUAGCCAAGUUGCUGAGGAAUUACGGUGUGCAGAGCCCUCGCAGCUCCUUCUCUUGGGAACUCCUGGUCUGGUUAGGUUCUCAGCCAGGAAACAGCCUCCCACCCCGCCCGAUUCCACCUAAUCAACUCAAGGGCCAGCUCCUUUUGCUGGCCUCCCUGCUUCCACGGAGCAGUUAGGCCCGCCUAAACUCAGCGAGCGUUUCUGGAGCACCUUGAGGAUAGGGACCAAGUAACAGAGUCCGGGUGUUAAGGUUAUGAUAGUAGUUAACGUUUUCGGAAAGAGACUGUGUCAGGCUCUGUGCUAAGAACUUUACAUGAAGUAUUUAUUCCUCAUGACUGUGAGUCCAUUGCAUUAUUUGCUGUCUGAAAUGCCACCCUUCGAGGGCUUUGAGGAGAUUUGAAAAACAUGGUAGUAUAUACCAGCCCAAGGAAGAUAAAAGUAAGACCCGAGAAAAUACUUUUCAACAAGACCAAAAUUUAGGCCAUGGAGGGGGACUUUCAAUCUGGAAUGAUCGAGCUUUAAGGAAGACAAGUACAUGAGCUCCUCUAGGACAGUGAAAAAGCAUCCUAACAUGCUCAAGACAGGAUAGGAAAUGGUCCUCUGGCUUGAAAGACUCAGCAUCCAGAAGUAGUACCUCACUCUCCAUCCAGUGGUCACCCCCCAGAAAUGUGCUCUCGUAAGUUAUUCCCUCCAUUGAUAAGCCUGCUCUCCUUCCCCAAGGCAUUUGUUUUGUUGGCUAAUUCCCUUUGGUAAUUGGUUUGCCGCUCUUUUAGGGGUCAUUUCCUGUGUUUAUUUCAUUAUACAAGAAAAAAAAAAGCUCUUAAGUGGACCAAAGGGAUAAGGAAAAUGAUGCAUGUUUUCCUGAUGUCCACAUGCAGCAAGUCCCUUAAUCUUUGCCCCUGCCUUCCUGGUGCUGUUGCCAGGCUGAGACCCUGGUUGGAGGAAUAGUGCCUGCAGCUACAGCAACUCAGGCAGCCUAGGAUGACUGCCAGGGUGCAUGAGGGCUGCCAAUACCAACUACUGGGGAGAUGAUUGUCAUCCCUGUGGAGGUACUGGAGAAGGUUGGUGGGGGAAGGUGGAAGAGAGGAAAUAAGGCAGAGAUGAGCUCAGGGUCCCCAGAGAAUGGAGCCUUUGUGUGGGGUACAGAUGAGGGACAAGGGGGUGAUUGUGUGGGAGGGCCGGAAGUGCCACAUGGACUGGCACCACCAUAGCCAGCACCAGAUUCACCCUUCUCCUGCUCUGAGAACUCCCUGUGCCUCAAGGAGCCGGUACCAGACAUGGUCAGGGGAAGCAGGGUAUGCCUGAACACUAUAAAGGAUGGGAAGGUAGAAAAGCAGAUGUAUAGCCUGGGGAAAAUGAAAGGUAUCCCCGCAUUACCCCAGACCCAGGGAACAGGAGGCCGAAGGAAAAAGACAGAAGCAGCUUUUACUAUAUUUACAUCCAACAAAACUUCGCAGGGAACAAUCCUUAUUGCACAGGUCAGGACCUGGGUGGGUGAGGCAUUCCCCAAGGCGGGGCGGGCAAGAAAAAUUAGGACUGGAGGGGGCACCAGUUCUUCCUAAGGGGAGCUUGAGACUCCUCUAGCUCCCAGUGCCUGACUUUGAAGGAACUACAAACCACCGGACCAUGGUGCCCUAUUUCCCUUCCCUUUCUCACUCUCCAUAAGAACCUCAUAAGCAAGGGGGCUGUGGCUCCAGAAUAAAUAACUUAAAAUAAAAUACAAACAGGUAGAAAGGCAUGGAGAGCCUUGGGCUCCUUAAGCAACGUCAGGGAAGAGGGACCAUUAUUGGUGGAGAAUGACAUCCCUACCUCCCAUUCAGGGCAAAGGCUCAGUAGCUCUGCAUCUUUCCAGUUGUUUUUUAAAACAAAAACUUCUAAAAUGACCAGGGCAAUGCAGAUCUGUGGGUACCCUGGAGGGGAGUUCCCGGUAUAGGACAAGGGAAGAACAGAGCUGUACCAACUCCCCCCAGAUCUCCCCCAACAUCAGCACGAACAAACUGGGUAGGUUGGUGAUGGGGGAAUCAGGACUUUUGGUAACAGUGGAUCCCUCUUCCUGUUGUCCUCGCUUGGAGCCUUUGACUGGGCAUCCUUCCCAGCCUGUUCCCAACUCCAUGAAGGCAACAGGGAAGCAGUUUAACUCUAGAAUCCCUUCUUCCUCACUUCCCCACCCCAGGCUGGAGAGGGAAGCUUAAGGUCUCUAGCAUUCUGGAGGUGCUCCAAAACAUUUUCGGCAGUCAAUGGCCUUGGGAGUGGGCAUCUGCGCCCGCCGGUGCCUCAGCUCCUCCUUGCCCAUGCUGCUGGCCAGCUUGUUAAAGGCAGACUUGUACUUCUUAUCGAAGGCCACUAGGGAAGAAGGUGGAAGUCAACGUGUUAGGACCGCAGCCUCCCACACCUGGCCCCAGAUCCCUAAACUCCUCAGCCCCUUGCCUGCAAUCUCACCUAUGUCCACGUGGUCCUUGCCCAGAGCAGCCAUUGUCAGGAAUAAUAUCUCACGGUAGAUUCCCCUUUAGUGGAGGCAGAAGUGUAUGAGCGAGAGAAAAGGGGUGUGGAGCCCCGGACAGACCAGGGAUCACCCAGAUGGUAGCACCAUACCUCUGCAGGUGCAGGCCAGUGGGUGGGGGCCCUAGAGUUUCCAGCAGGAGCCCCACAGCCUUGUGCACUUCAUUGAGUCCAACAUGGCGCAGCACUGACUCCAACAGUGCCAAACUAAGGGAUGCAGGUACAGGGCCUGGCCAUACCACCCGCUGGGGGAUCUGGCCUGGAUGAAAGGAAA